rnacentral:lncRNA from 1 species
UUUUAUAUUUUAAUAUUUUAUGAUGUAUUUAAAUGAGUAGUUAUUGUUGCAAACUCUAUUAAACUAUUUUUGGAAUAAGGGAAAGGGGGAGGUGAAAAAAAUAUAAGAAUUGUGGGAGGGGGGGGAGGUUACAAUUUUUCUUAUUUCAGAUUUCAGAAAUUAAAAUCUCUUCAUUAAUUUUUCUUUGAGGGGAUUAAUAUCCAACAGCAAAGUGUAUUGCUGGAGAGCAAAACAACAUUUUAAGUUCAUUAGACUCAUUCUUUCUGUGUCAGAAACCUAUGCUGUGUCAACUAUUUAAUCACAAUCCAAAUUCAGAGCUGUAUCAAGCUUGAAUGUUGUGUCAAUACUUGCCCCAACUGUUCAGAGUUUGACCUCUGUGGUCGUAUAAAGCUGCACCCUGCGGAGCAUCUGUUUGUUGAUUUCAUUGGUAAAGGAAAAACCUGGAAUUUAAAUAUUCAACGAAUUGCAAAUUUUCUUAAGGAAUAUAUGCAGACUUUGCCAAAACUAUGAAAUAAGAUGUCAAUGAAUAUGCAAGUUUUCCUCAAACCACGAAAAUUGGUACCCUUGAGAAUAUUUGAAUCUACAGUAGAUAUCAACAGGUCACAAUACUGACUUAUACUGACUUCAUUAUUAGAAAUUAUUGUUCCAUAUGUAAAGUAUAAAGUCCACCUACUUGCCAAAAAUCAAUAGAAAAUCAAAAAAGAACUAAUAGCCCCAUUUAUGUCAUAGAACAAAAGUAUGGGCCAGUGACAGAAAAGCCAAACAAUGACUAGUUAUUCAGUGUUCUCCCCAUAAAUUUUAUACAACACAUCUGUAAACAGGAAUUUUAGAAUACUAUAAGUAUUUUGAAUCUAGAAUUUAUGGCACCACAUUUAUAAUAAAUUUUAUAAGAAAAUAAGUUCAUAUCAUAAAGCAUCACAUUUGAGCAAUACAGAAUUAUAGAACCACAUUAUCAUGAUGCAAAAAUGCCCUGGGAAGAAGAAAGGCGGGAGUGGGUACGACCCGCUGGAACAAAACCUAUGGUGAACUGUUUUAAGUUGUUAUAUUGUUUUCCGAUCCAUUUAAUUGUAUAGAUGUAUGUAUUUAUAUAUUUGUUUCUAAAAUAAUAUAUUGUUUACACUAAGUUCUCAUAUACAAGUUCAGAAUGAAUUAUAUGGGUUAAGGGUGAAGAUCAAACAGUUUUUAUGAUAUUGGACAAUUUAUAAUACAAGAGACAUGUACUCCUAGGGAAUCUAAAUAAUUUAUUUGUAAGCAUUAAGAAAAUGGUUAAGAGGUAUGGAUAAGAAAUUUUUUCAUGAUAUAUAACAAUUUGAUAAGCAAAAGCUAUCAUUGGUGAACUUCAAAGGUCAUAUCUGGGCAAUGUAGCAUGUUUAUGGUUUAGGGUUAAUCUGAACAAUAAUUUUUAGAUAUUAAACUAUUUAUUAUAUGUGAUUAGACCAAAGGGCAAACUCUUCAAGUGCACAAGAAAUUAAAAAUGUCAAGAAUAUAUAUGAUUUUAGGAUGGACAAAUAAAAUAUCAGUUAGUUGACCUUGUAGGUCAAAAGUCAUCAUAAAUGGUCCAAGACACAUCGGCUUAAACUGCUGAACCCAUGUGCUUAAUAUCAAAAACUUUUUUUAAAGAAUACAUCAAUAAUAGUGUCCAAAAAAAUCCUGAAAACGAAUUAUUUAGACCUUAAGGUCUAAGGGUUAAGUCAUGAUUGUAUGUGACACACCCUUUAAUCAUAGGGGACAAAGGUAACAUUGGUUGGAAAUAAAUGUAUUGGAGAGUUGUCUCACCUCUUCUUUUAUCUUUAUUUGAUGCUUUAUUAUAAAGAUGAUUAUCAAUGAAGUGAAAUAGCAAAUUUAAGCAGGAAUUAAUUAAACAGGAAAUCUGAAUACUUUCAAAAUACAUUUUAAAUCCUUUUUUCAUGUCAAUAUGUUUGAGUGUCUCUGUUUGGUUUUUUUUUACUGCUGAUUAAGGCAGUAUGUUUUUCUUGUUGAUGCAGAUUAAGAAGAACAAACUAUUCCCCUUUUUGUCGAGCCUUCGACUUUAGUCGAAAAAGCGAGACUAAGCGAUCCUACAUUCUGUCGGCGUCGGCGUCGUCGUCGUCGGCGGCGUCCACAAAUAUUCACUCUGUGGUUAAAGUUUUUUGAAAUUUAAUAACUUUUCUUAAAUAUACUGAAU